rnacentral:lncRNA from 1 species
CCAAUUCUAAAGCAUUGUCACUUCUAACAGUUUGAACCACAACACUAAAUUGGGUUUUAACCAAACACAGGAAUGACUGAAGCAAAGAAAAAGCAUUGCUUUUAGAUCCCAUUAAUCAGGUGGUUUGAUGUAUGAUCCUCUGAUUACUAAAGAAAGAAGUACCCUCAAUGCUAGAUCCCAAUUCUAAAGCAUUGUCACUUCUAACGGUUUGAACCACAGCAUUAAAUUAGGUUUUGACCAGAGAAAGGAAUGACUUAAGCAUAGAAAAAGCAUUGCUUUUGGAUCCCAUUAAGUGUGUCCAUGUUGCCCUAGAAAAAUCAUCAACAAUUGUAAGGACUUAAGCAUAGAAAAAGCAUUGCUUUUGGAUCCCAUUAAGUGUGUCCAUGUUGCCCUAGAAAAAUGAUCAACAAUUGUAAGGAAAUAUCUACAACCAGAAGAAGUUGGAGUAUGAUAAGGUCCCCAAGUGUCCACAUGAAUCAAUUGAAAGGGUCUACAGGUCUUAACAGAACUAUCAGGAAAGGGGAGUCUAGUCUGUCUUGCCAUAUGACAGACAGAACAUGGAAAAGGUUGCUUAGAAGCAAACGGAAAAGACAAACCAGAAAUAUGUCUCAUAUUUGUAAAUGGAGUAUGAGCAAGUCUUAAAUGCCAAAUGUAAUUCAUGUCAGUUGUAACAACAUUAUUNN